CGUACCCUGCUGUGUUCGUGAACGUCGUUUUACGUUUUGAGCCAACACCUAUAAAAACGGGGGCUGUCUCUUCAGAGAGGAAUGCGAUAGCCUACGGGCAAGGCAAACCACUGAGCAGGCUCCCGCCUUACGAAAACAGGGUCAAAACAUCUCGACACACGGCACGGUGGGGUCAGG
rnacentral:other from 2 species